rnacentral:rRNA from 1 species
ACAAGGUUUCCGUAGGUGAACCUGCGGAAGGAUCAUUACCAUAAUGUGCGCUGUCACACGAGUCAUCACGCCUGGGCAGUAAUUCCCGCCAUAUAGUAGGGCAAAAGGCCACCCGGAGUGCCCCCGAAACAAAACUGUCGGGGGGAGGGCUGCAGUGUCAGCUGGGCUCCGGGGGCGGGAUAGAGUUAGAGUCCCGUCUGCGUCACGCAAGAAUCGAAAACGAACUUGAACCCGGUGCUGGGUUUGCCCGUCAAGGCUGAUUGGCCCGUUCACCUUCACAAAACCCUCCGUGUACCAUUUCCCUGUUGCUUCCCCGCGCCCCCGCGGCGCGGGGGAGGUCCACCUGAAACACAACAGCACCAAACUGCAGUCAGAAAAACAAACAAACAACAAGUUAAAACUUUCAACAACGGAUCUCUUGGUUCCCGCAUCGAUGAAGAACGCAGCGAAAUGCGAUAAGUAAUGUGAAUUGCAGAAUUCAGUGAAUCAUCGAAUCUUUGAACGCACAUUGCGCCCUCUGGUAUUCCGGAGGGCAUGCCUGUUCGAGCCUCAAUGAAACCGCUCCCCGUGCGGCCGUUCCUCGAACGUCCCCGGGGGUAGUGGCGGACGCGAACGCCCCCAAAAGCGUGCGCGCCGCUCAAAUCCGCGGUCCGCAGGCCCGAGGGCGCACCCGACGUAGUGAUGAAUUUUCUCGUCGACGUGCGACCUCAAGCGCCUGGGACCUUAAGCGCUCCGGCGCCGCUUACAAUCGGUUGAGCUCGGAUCAGGUAGGGAUACCCGCUGAACUUAAGCAUAGCAAAAGAAACCAACAGGGAUUGCCUCAGUNACGGCGAGUGAAGCGGCAACAGCUCAAAUUUUAAAGCUGGCGUCUUCGACGCCCGCGUUGUAAUUUGGAGAGGCAUCUUCGGUUUGGGCGCCAGCCUAUGUUCCUUGGAACAGGACGUCACAGAGGGUGAGAAUCCCGUGCUUGGCUGGCUGUCCCUUGCCAUGUGAAGUGCCUUCGACGAGUCGAGUUGUUUGGGAAUGCAGCUCAAAAUGGGUGGUAAAUUCCAUCUAAAGCUAAAUAUUGGCGGGAGACCGAUAGCGCACAAGUAGAGUGAUCGAAAGAUGAAAAGCACUUUGAAAAUAGAGUUAAAAAGUACGUGAAAUUGUUGAAAGGGAAGCGCUUGAGACCAGACUCGGCCGGAGAUGAUCAGCCGUCCUUCUGGGCGGUGCACUUGUCUCCGGUCGGGCCAGCAUCGGUUGAGACGGCGGGAUAAAGGCCCGGGGAAUGUGGCUCCUUUCGGGGAGUGUUAUAGCCCCGGACGCAAUGCCGCCAGCCUCGACCGAGGACCGCGCUUUUUGCUAGGAUGCUGGCGUAAUGGUCUUCAGCGACCCGUCU